rnacentral:lncRNA from 1 species
GUUUUGUUUUAUGGUUUCUCCAGCAGUGUAUGAGACUUCAAGCUGCUCCACAAUCCCCCACAACACUUGGUCUGCUGGAAUUUGCUGGAGGUCCAUUCCAGGUGCUGUUUGCCUGGGUAUCACCAGUGGAGGCUGCAGAACAGCGAAGAUGGCUGCCUGCUCCUUCCUCUGGAAGCUUCAUCACAGAGGCACACCUGCCUGAUUCCAACUGGAGCUCUCCUGUAUGAGGUGUCAGAUGACGCCUGUUGGGAGAGAUGCCCUGCCCAAUCAGGAGGAAUCUAGAGAGGCAGUCUGGCCACAGACUCUUUGCUGCAGUGUGGUGAGUCACCCGGUUGAAACUUCCCAGCUUCCUCAAUACUGGGAGGGGCAAAGAGCCUACUCAAGCCUCAGUGAUGGUGGACGCCCCUCCCCAAGCUUGAGUGUCCCAGGUCAACUUCAGACUGCUGUGCUGGCCACGAGAAUUUCAAGCCAGUGGUUCUCAGCUUGCUGGGCUCUGUGGGAGUGGGACUCACUGAGCGAGACCUCUUGUGUUCCUGG